rnacentral:rRNA from 1 species
UAUUAUACCAAGAUUUAAUCUGUAAACCUAAUUAGUAGUAGUUAUAUCCUUCAAAUUUGAAAAAUUUGGCGGUGAUUUAGUCUUGUCAGAGGAACCUGUUUUUGAAUCGAUACACCACGAAGCAUCUUACUUAAGCUUAAACAAUUAAGGGUAUGUAUACCGUCAUUAUUAGGUAAUUUUUAUAGAAUUUAAUUACUGAAACUAAAUUAAUAAAGUUAAAUAUAUUAGAUCAAGGUGCAGCUUAUGCUUAAAGUUAAAAUGGGUUACAAUAUUACUUAGUAUAUAAUGGAAAAAUGAUUUAAAGAUCAUUUAGAAGGAGGAUUUGAUUGUAAGGUUAAUUUAAUAUGUUAAUCAGAUAUAAGCUCUAAAUCAUGU